UACGUAGGGGGCGAGCGUUGUCCGAAGUUAUUGGGCGUAAAGAGCUCGUAGGCGGUUUGUUGCGUCGGCUGUGAAAUCCCGAGGCUCAACCUCGGGUCUGCAGUCGAUACGAGCAAACUAGAGUGUUGCAGGGGAGACUGGAAUUCCUGGUGUAGCGGUGAAAUGCGCAGAUAUCAGGAGGAACACCGGUGGCGAAGGCGGGUCUCUGGGCAACAACUGACGCUGAGGAGCGAAAGCGUGGGGAGCGAACAGG
rnacentral:rRNA from 1 species